UUGUUGUUAUGUUUUUUUCCUUCAGCAGUGUAAUAUUGCCUGCAAAGCAAUGGGAAGAUCACCCAGCCUUUCAGCCAGCUGCUCAACAUUGGUCACUGCCUUGGAGAAGGAUGAUCCCAUCUGCACAGCUGAGUGCUGUUGUACAUCACCCAGCACACGCAGAGUGUUCAAUGAAGCAGAAAAACAAUGUUAGUCUUUGGUGGCCGGGGAAAAUAACAAAGUUCAUGAAGGUGGUCUCCAGAUGAUCCUGUCUCUGAGGAAGCAGUCAUGCAUCUCUGUGUUUUCCCAAGGAGGGAGCAGUAGCAGCAGGGCUGGCAAAUACAGGUCAGAGCACAUGAACUGGAGUUCUGCAUGAAACCAACAUCUAGGAGGACAAUUCCUGUGCUCUAGCCAGUUGGGACAUAGGACUAGGCUGAAAAACUUAACCAAGCCUACGAUAUGGAUAUGGAGUCCUCCUUACCAGCUGCAAAUCUGCUCCCAUUUGGCUGUUCAGCUUUCUAACAUAAAUACAACUAUCUGAGGCCCAGAAUCCAUCAGCAGAUUGCCUCAGUGAAUACAGAUUCCCAGAUAAACAAAAAUCAUGCUUGUGCUGGUACAAUACUUGCUUCUGUAUAUGGGAAUAACUGCACCCUGGGCAAAAGAAAAUAUUGAGAACUUUGCUGCUGAAGUCAGUGACACCACAUUUCACUCUACGUAAGUGGCACGCAGAAGCAUGGUUGCAUUUGUUACUGCAUAGACAGCAUGUAUUCUAGCCUUCUUUGAUGGGAUACUGAGCUGAGGCUGAGAAUGCAGCAUGGAUUCACAAUGUUCAGAUCACAAAACCAAUCACCAGCAACACCAGGAUGGAGCAUCGGCUCUAGAAAUAGGGAGUUUAAAUCCAGAGCAGAUUGGCAGUGUGCUCAAAGUCACAGGAGGAACCCAAAAACCCAUGGCUCUGCAUAAUGAAGAGUGCUACAGAAAAGCAGAAAAAAGGGAUACUAGAAUAUUUGGAGAUCACCCCAAUGCCUGAUGCAGGAGUUCAUCGUGAUGGAUCUAUCCAGGCAGGAAGCUGACUCAGCUGUACUGGAGGUGAAGAGAAUUCUGGUCUGGUUCUCUCUGUGCUAAAUGUGGAAAUGGCAGUGGAGCACCUUGCACAGGCCUUGCAGAAGUGAGAGACUCAGGUAACACAAUCAAGGUAACACAAGUCAUCUGACUGGGGUAGCAGACCGACUGCCAAUACAAUACCAUCUUGGACAACACCUACAGGGCCAAUGCUGAUAUACCUAGAGAGGUGCUGGAUGUGAGCCUCAUGUAAGAGCCUGAUGGGUUCGUUUGGAUACCGAUUAAGCAGCGAAUCAGCACAGAGCUGCUUACUGAGAUUUCAAUGCUGAAUGAUUUGGCCAAGCCAAGUUUCAAGAGUCUGGAAGCCAAGUUCCUAAGAUGUCGUUGGCAAGGAAAGCAGCUAAUACAUCCAUCAUGCAUAAAAGGUGUCUGUGAAGAAUUUGUCCAUGCCCUCCCACUGGUGAGAAAUUUCCAUAUACAUUGUAUAGCAGUUGAUGUUGUUAUACCACAUAGAACUAGUGGCGGAACUUGUCUUUAUUAAGACUGAUCUACCAUUAGUAGAAUAUAAAUAUGACUGAGCGCAAUGGCUUAAAUCCCUGACAGCCUCAGGUUUGCCAGCAGUGGAUUUCCAUGCCUUUUCAUCUGGGAACUGGGAACACUGGCUGAGUACAGAGCAUUAAUGUGCCGCAGACGGUGCCUCACAUUUCCUGUGCACACGUGCACAGAGGAACGACGGUUGGGAAAAGCUUUGUUUUUCCAUACUCCUUGAGACACUGGUGGAGGAGGAAUCUUGCCCGUUGUACUCAGGGUGUCAAGCACUUUGCAGAGGGCCUAUAAAGGCACCUCAUCACCUUUGCUGUAACACCUCAUAGGCCCUUGUUAGCUCUUCUCUUUUUAUGGUCCUGUAGGUAAAAGGGUUGAUCUUAUUUAAAUAUCCCUGAGGCUAAUAGCAAGAAGCUAUUGAACUGCAUAAGAAAAACCCUGAGUACAAAACCAGAUGCAUACAUUCACCUUGGGGAUAAACGUCUUACGAUGCAGGGCAAAACUGCUCCAGCUCUAUUGAACGGCAAUGUAAAGCAGUCCCAGCACAGCCAGGAGACAGCUGACUUGACGCCAGGCUGAAGGAGAGCAGCAUUUGUCCGAGGAUUAUCAUCAGGCCCCUCACAAUCACAUUUUCACUUAUUCCUUGUGGGUGGGGACUUGUUGACAAUUCCCUGAAUUUCAAUUUGGAAGCAAGAGUUUCAUGUCUGACCUCUUAUCUCCUGCAUCAUGUGUCUGCCUGCCUCACCCACACACUUUAUAUCACUCUUGUUCCCUUUUAUGUAAGGUACAUAUGAUGUAAGCUAGAGUAGCAAAGCCUGCUCAUUCUUCUGGUUUGGUUUUGGCUUAGAACAUUGUCAGUCAGAUUUUGCUUUCUGCAUUCACUGCACUACUUUCAUAAAACUGCCUCGGCAAAUUUGG